UACAGAGGGUGCGAGCGUUAAUCGGAAUUACUGGGCGUAAAGAGCGCGUAGGCGGUCCGGUAAGUCGGUUGUGAAAACUGGGGGGCUCAACCCUCAGAGGCCGACCGAUACUGUCGGGCUAGAGUCCGGAAGAGGCGAGUGGAAUUCCUGGUGUAGCGGUGAAAUGCGCAGAUAUCAGGAGGAACACCGAUGGCGAAGGCAGCCCCCUGGGCUGAGAUUGACGCUCAGGCACGAAAGCGUGGGGAGCAAACAGG
rnacentral:rRNA from 1 species